UUCUUAGGCUUUGAAGAUUUGUGUUGAAUCUACACUUUGUUGGUAAGUAUGUACAACAGCCACUAGGCUUUAGUUGGGGGGGGACAACUACAUUUUUCAAUCAUUGAAGCAUCUGGACCCUUACUAUCCUAAAAGUAGUGUACACUUGGUGGACUAGUCUUGGUGGCUCAGUUGAUAGAAUGUUGACCUGGGAAGCGGAAGGUUCCAGAUUCAAGCUCACCAUAGCACCUAGUGUGUCCUUGAGUAAGACUUUCGCACUAGCUCCCCGGGCGCCGCACUGGUAAUCCACUGCUCCUUCAGAGGAUGGGUUAAAAUCCAGAGAAUAAUUACUUCAAUGUGGGAUCAAUAAUAAUAAUAAUAAUAAUAAUAAUUAAGGCUUUACUGAGCAACAGAUGUGAAUUUUAUGUUUAUGUAAAGCCUGAAAAUUGUGGCCACACUCACUCUUUCAAAAUGCCACUCCUUCUGCCAUUGUCCCAAGUGUCAGAGAGAAUUUUGGAAAAUGUGGAACUCUCUGCACUUUGAGGCAGAUACAGACUAAAACUAAAAUUGGCAUGCUUUAUAUUGACCUCAGUAAGAUAUGCGCUGAACCCUACUAUGUCAUAUGUGGUGCAUCAACCAGGUGGUCAGUAAAGGGGUGAGAGGUAAAAGAAAGUGUGGCAUUGACGAUUAUGCAAACAAAGCUUCAUGCAGCCAUUAGAUAUACAGGAAACAUUGUUUAAGUGUUAUUCGUUAGUAUUAUAAAUUAAUAGAUUUUUUUCAUGGAAAACUAAAAAGUUAGUAACUAAAAAAAGGAAAAAAAAACAAUUUCAUAUAAUUGUCCUGUUUAAUUGAACACAAAAAGCUAAUUCAUUGUUUUUCUCUUUUUGUUCCCAUGGCUUUGUCUGUGGGGAAAUUGUGUUAACUGCCCCUCAACUACCCUGGUUUUUCAUGGUUGGGUGUUUUAAUUCCUGUCCUGGGAUUUUUUUUUGUCCAACAAUUUUCUUUUACAACAAUGACAACAACAACUACUACUACUACUACUACUACUACUACUACUACUACUACUACACCUACUCUUGUUUUUAUGUAUAUUUUAGUACAAAUGCUCUGUCUCCUCCUGUUUGUCAUUUGUAUUGUUAUAUGUGACUAAAUAACGACUGUAAGGACUGAAUUUCAACUGACUUGGCUGCAGUUGCCAAACAGGGGAAGGCACUCUGUGAGGCACCAGACUCUUUCAGCUGAUCGGGGAAGUGCGCCCUGUGAAGCCCUAGACUUUUCGCCAAUCAGGGAAGUGCGCCCUGUGAGGUCCCAGACUUUUCGCCUGUCAGGGAAGUGCGCCCUGUAAGGCACCAGACUUAAGAAUCUGUGGAUCAGGGACGUGAGUCCUUGUGAAGCCUUUACAGUUUGAAAUUGUGGAUCGGGGACGCGAGUCCCUGUGAAGCCUUUACAGUUUGAAAUUGUGGAUCAGGGACGUGAGUCCCUGUGAAGCCUUUACAGUUGAUAUUGUGGAUUGAGGAAGUUGAAAGAAGUCUCUUGAUUUUUUAAGUUAAAUAUCAGCUAUUUGGAUUGCUUCUAUUUAUUGCACAUAAGUGAUAUAUUUGCACAUUGAGAUAUUUCACUAUAAAUAGUAAAUACCUAUAAUACUUCACAGCGUUUGUUUUAAGUAAUAUAAAUUGUUGAGAACCUACCUGUUCAAGAUAUAACAUUUGUUUAAUUUAUUCUGCCAUUAUCCUUUAGUCAUGCACUGAACUGCAAAUAAAAAAUUUAAAUUUGUAAAGUUGUGUACUAUC
ensembl:lncRNA